ensembl:misc_RNA Metazoa_SRP Metazoan signal recognition particle RNA
GCUGGGUGCGGUGGCUCACACCUGUAAUCCCAGCACUUUGGGAGGCUGAGGUGGGUGGAUCACCUGAGGUCGGGAGUUCAAAUCCAGCCUGACCAACAUGGAGAAACCCCAUCUCUA